rnacentral:rRNA from 1 species
CAUGUAGGCGGCAUAGCAAGUCUGGUGUGAAAUAUCUCGGCUCAACCGAGGGAACGCACUGGAAACUGUUAAGCUUGAGUAUCGGAGGGGAAGCUAGAAUUCCUGGUGUAGGGGUGAAAUCUGUAGAUAUCAGGAAGAAUACCGGUGGCGAAGGCGAGCUUCUGGCCAGAUACUGACGCUGAGAUGCGAAAGCGUGGGGAGCGAACAGGAUUAGAUACCCUGGUAGUCC